CUACCGGGGUAUCUAAUCCUGUUUGAUCCCCACGCUUUCGUGCCUCAGAGUCAAUAUUCGUGUAACGAGCUGCCUUCGCAAUUGGUGUUCUAUGUCAUAUCUAAGCAUUUCACCGCUACAUGACAUAUUCCGCUCAUCUCCACGGUAUUCAAGACAGAUAGUAUCAACGGCAGUUUCCGAGUUAAGCUCGAAGAUUUCACCACUGACUUACCUGCCCUCCUACGCACCCUUUAAACCCAGUGAAUCCGGAUAACGCUUGCACCCUCCGUAUUACCGCGGCUGCUGGCAC
rnacentral:rRNA from 1 species